UAAUGAUAUACAAGCAGGAAUUUAAACAAUUACGUCACUGUAACGCAAAAACCCUAUAGAUUUACGAAUAAUUUCGCCUUUGUAUUCUAUGCUAUUCAAACUAUUCAAACAAUCAAACAGGGUAAAUGCAUUGUUCGAAAGAAAAAAAAACUACGUUGAUGGUUUCCGUAGUACCCAUUAGAUAAUUAUAAUUUUUUCAAUUAAGAUGACCGUUUUCGAUAUUGUUUGUUUAUUUUAAUAAUAAUUGUCAAGUGUUUGUAUUCGUUGAUUUUACAAGUGCUUCACGAAUUCUGUUUACAAGCGGCUCGGAAAGACAAUUGUACUGCAGACGAAUCAUCGAACGAAUUUAAUACAGUUAUAAUAUACAAUUUAGAAAUUAGAGGUGUAGGUAGUUACUCUGG